rnacentral:rRNA from 1 species
UACAGAGGGUGCGAGCGUUAAUCGGAAUUACUGGGCGUAAAGGGUGUGUAGGUGGUUGUGUAAGUUAGAUGUGAAAUCCCUGGGCUCAACCUGGGAACUGCGUUUAAGACUGCAUAACUAGAGUACUGUAGAGGAUAGUGGAAUUUCCAGUGUAGCGGUGAAAUGCGUAGAUAUUGGAAGGAACACCAGUGGCGAAGGCGACUAUCUGGAUAGAUACUGACACUGAGACACGAAAGCGUGGGGAGCAAACAGG